CAAAGACUGUCACUAUAUCCAUAAAGACUCUCACUUGCCAUUGGUAAAGUUGUUCAUUUUAUUUAUUACUGAAAUUAUGUACAUAAUUUUUGCCUUACAAUAUGAAAAGGCAAUUUUCCUGGAUACUGUCUACAUGAAAUUUUUGUCAACAGUAAAGCUUUGAAGGUUUUAUCCCUCAGAGAGAUUUCAAAAGAAAUUUUAACUUUGAAAUCUUCUAAUGGGGUGUUUUUUAUGGAGGUGAAUCAGGCCAUACAGGUACCCGAGCUAGAUCUCUUUGCUGAGCUACAUCUCUUUGCUUAUCCAAUGUUUAAAUGAGACUUUUGAGGUGGGCUGUCUUGCCAACACAAAUGAUUGGUCUUACCGCUAUAAAUAGUAUAAUAUAAGUAAAUAUAUAUUUUUAUUUUUCAAGAUCUCACCUAGGUAGGCCAGCUCGGUUCCCAUUUAAACACAAGAUAAAUGUUAGUAUAAAUUACAUAGCGAUGUUAGAUCUCGGCAAACAAGCUACCUCACUGGGUAUCAGGGCUGGCUCUCCUCCAUAUAAACACCCCCUAAGAAAAUAAAGAAAUGUUAUUUAUAUCAAUAGAUUGAUGUGAAUUAUGUAUUAAUUAUUUAAUCCUCAGCUGUUAUCCAAGAUCUAAGGCUUGGAAAAGAGUCUUGGCCAGGCAGGCCAGCCCAAGAGGAAAGAAGGUUUAUAUAACUAAGGUAUAUUGGUAGGUAGUGAUGCCAGAUUACUUCAAAUUUCUACUGUCUGCCUUGUCAAAUAUAAAAUAUCCCUGAAUCUCCAGUAGUUCAGUUGGUAAUUAAUGGCAGCUCAAAUAGGAUUAGAGCGGUGAUGAUGGAUCAUGACAAUAUGUUGUAUUUAAUAUUUUUUUACACAUUUAAACCUCAAAUGGCUCAAUCAAUUAAUGUUUCUAGAUGGCAUGACUUUGAGAUUUGCUUGACUGUGUGAAAAUUU